UUUUAAGUGUACUAUUUACUCUUUCUCCUUCUAUAUAUGGACACAAAUGAGGAACCAGAGCUCCCAUCAAACACAUAACAACAACAACAGACUUAAAAGUCUGACCCUCUCUCUCGAAUUUCAUAACACAGAAAGCUUACACACACCAAAACUCUUGUUCUCACAACACACCCAAGGUCACAAACUCAGUGACAAGUCUCAUCUCCUCUCAAAUAAGAACACACAUCACUCCACCAGCCCCUCUCCCCCCUUCGUUUGACUGAGCGGCCGGCCACCACCACCUUCUGGUGGCGGCGCGUCGGCAAGAUGAGAGAGAGAGAGAUGAUGCAGGAGAGAGAGAGAGAGCAAUCGGAACUGAGAGAGAGAAGACGGAGAGGAAUGACGAAGAGGAGAGGGCCGACGCUCUAUUGCCGAUGUCAGUGCCGCCGUGUACGGCGGCGGAGGAGGCGGAUUUCGAGCAAAAAUGAAGACGACAGCCUGGUGUUCUUCUCCGGAACGAUGAUGAUUACGUUGAUGACGUUGAAGUAGUGGUGUCGGCCACGCCGGCGACGGCGUCGGUGGUAGCGAAGAUUCUGAUUCGGGUUUCGCUUCGUGGUCGAGUCGACUCGGUCAAACCCGAGUCAACUCGGGCCAACUCAGUCGGUCAACAGGUCAAAACAGUCAAGGUCAGACGUGGUUUCGGGUUUCGAUCAACGGUCCGGGUCAGAUUUUGAAGCGUUUCGGGUUCACUCGGUCGGACCGAGUCAACUCAGUCAACGCAACGAGUCAACUCAGCGGGUAAACCCGGUUGACUCGGUCAACUCAGCGUGCCGACACGAAGAUUCGGUUGCAUUUCUAAUACAAGGAACGGUUGGAGUAGGAGGACCAUGAAGAGUCGAGUACUUAGUGGGCGUUCAGUUUCUGGAAAGACUUAGUUUAUUUGCUUCCGCUGUGCAAUGAAGAUACCAGUCCAGUCACGCCAAUGCUCUGAUAAUUUCGGGGUGUGACACUUAUGAGGAAACCUACAACUAGGAAAAUCUCUGUUUUUGAAUGUCGUAUUUGAAAAACAAAAAAUCAAAUCUUCAUCGUUGCUAAAAAAACCUAAUAUAUUACAAAAGAGAAAUUAAAUAUAUGCUAUUUGUUAAUAUGGAUGUACCUGUAUGACCGUUUAGUGAGCUUGAUUUAUUUUAACGUAACAUGUGUGAGAUGUUUUAUAUA